rnacentral:rRNA from 1 species
GUCCACGCCCUAAACGAUGACAACUAGGUGUUGGGGAAGCGAUUUCUCAGUACCGCAGCUAACGCGUGAAGUUGUCCGCCUGGGGAGUACGGUCGCAAGAUUAAAACUCAAAGGAAUUGACGGGGACCCGCACAAGCGGUGGAUGAUGUGGAUUAAUUCGAUGCAACGCGAAUAACCUUACCUACCCUUGACAUGUACGGAAGCCCGCUGAGAGGCGGGUGUGCCCGAAAGGGAGCCGUAACACAGGUGCUGCAUGGCUGUCGU